rnacentral:rRNA from 1 species
AACGCAGGGGACAAACGUUAUCCGGAGUUACUGGGCGUAAAGCGUGCGCAGGCGGUUGUGCAAGACCGAUGUGAAAUCCCCGGGCUUAACCUGGGAACUGCAUUUGUGACUGCACGGCUAGAGUGCGGCAGAGGGGGAUGGAAUUCCGCGUGUAGCAGUGAAAUGCGUAGAUAUGCGGAGGAACACCGAUGGCGAAGGCAAUCCCCUGGGCCUGCACUGACGCUCAUGCACGAAAGCGUGGGGAGCAAACAGG